UGGGACGAAGUUGAACCGGAACUUAGCCGCGAUUGGAACCGGCGGCGAGGAAGCUCGUCGCUCGAUUGGGAGCGUGCGCGACCGGCGGCGCGCGAUGCGUGGGAUCGCAUCGAUAGCGGCCUGACACCCGCACAAGAGCGAGAUCGUCAGCCUUCAGGUCCGCCGCGGACGCCUAAAUAAACGACAGCAACUAUCUCGACGUCUGAAAAAGCCGGCCGCUUCGCCCAUGCGAAGCGAGCUGGCCUUUCAUUUUUCUAGUCUCGAACGCAAGCGCAUUUGAGAGGCUAAACGGGCACUGCGGCA
rnacentral:misc_RNA from 1 species